rnacentral:lncRNA from 1 species
CCCACCCGCGUGGAGCGCGCGGCCGAGGCCACCAUCAACAUGGGCAGCAAGGUGGUGGCCGGGGUGGCCAUGACCAACCUGCCGGGCGUCGUGGUUUUGGCCUUCGCCAAAGCGCAGCUCAUCCAGAUCUUCUUCUUCCGUCUCAAUUUCAUCAUCACGCUGGUGGGCCUCGCUCACGGCCUCGUCUUCCUGCCCGUCCUGCUCAGCUACAUGGGUCCCGCACCGCUCAGCGUGGAGGGCACCAAAGAUGGCAUGGAGGGCAUCAAAGAUGACGUGGAGGGCACCAGAUCCGGUACUGAAGACACCAGAUCCGGCACAGGGGGCACUGGAUUUGGCACGGGGGGCACCAGGUUUGGCACAGAGGGCACCACAGUUGACGUUGGUGACACCAAACCCGGUGGCACGGAGGGCACCAAGGCCGGCGCGGUGUGGGGCGCAGCCUUCGCCAACCCCAGCUUUGAGGACGCGGCGCAGUGCUGACGCCGCUGCCCCCACGGCCCUUUUCUGUGCUGCUGUAUUUAAAGAGGUUUUCUCAGAGAUGAUGGGUUUGUGGGGGUUUUGGGGGGUUUUGUGUCUGAUUACCUGGGCGUGGGCACCGUGGGGCCACCAUGUGGGUACUGGGAUGGACAGCUUGGGGACAAAGCUGUGUGGGACACACGGACGGACAUCCUGACACACGGACAUGUUGGGGACAAAAGCACAUGGGACCCAUAAAAGGACAGCGUGGGGACAGGGACACGGGGGACACUGGAUGGCAUCCUGGGGACAAAGCUGUGUGGACACCUAUGGGCAUCUUGGGGACGGGGACACACAGACACCUUGGGGACAAGGUAGUGUGGGACCCAUAAAAGGACAUCUUGGGGACAGGGACACAGGGACACAUGGAUGGCAUCCUGGGGACAGGAUGACAUGGGACACGUAGGGCACAUGGAUGGACACCUUGGGGACAAAGCUGUGUGGGACACACGGACACCCUGGGGACAGGAGCAUGUGGGACACACGGACGGACGUCUCGGGGAUGGGGACACAUUGGGGACAUGGAUGGACGUCCUGGGGACAGGGACACACAGACACCUUGGGGACAAGGCAGUAUUGGGACCCAUAGAGGGACACCUUGGGGACAGGGACACAGAGGACACACGGACACCUUGGGGACAAAGCUGUGUGGGACCCAGAGAGGGACACCUUGGGGACAGGGACACAGAGGACACACGGACACCUUGGGGACAAAGCUGUGUGGGAAACAUGGACAUCUUGGGACAGGAUGACAUGGGACACGUGGGCAUCAUGGGGACAGGGACACGCGGGACACAUGGAUGGAUGUCUUGGGGACAGGGACAUGUGGGACACAUGGAUGGACAUCUUGGGGACGGGGGCACACAGACACCUUGGGGACAAGGCAGUGUGGGACCCAUAGAGGGACACCUUGGGGACAGGGACACAGAGGACACACGGACACCUUGGGGACAAAGCUGUGUGGGACACAUGGACACCUUGGGACAGGAUGACAUGGGACACGUGGGCAUCAUGGGGACAGGGACAUGUGGGACACACGGACACCUUGGGGACACACGGAUGGACGUCCUGGGACCAGGACCCCAAAGGACGCACAUCACAUCUGCAGUGGGAUGGGAUCCUGUGAGCCCACGGGGUGAAUGGGGACGGUGGGGGGGGACCCCAUGGGACUGAGACCCCAAAGGGCACCGACCCCAGUGGGGAUGGGAUCCUAUGGGAUCAGGACCCCAAAGCUGUAAGGGAACGGCAGGGGUGGGUCUCUAUGGGAUCAGGACCCCAAAGGGCUCAAUGGGGUCAGGUCCAUAUGGGAUUGAGACCCCACAGGACAUAUGGGAAUGGCAGGGAUGGGUCUCCAUGGGAUCGAGACCCCAAAGGGAAAACAUCCACAGUGGGGAUGGGAUCCUAUGAGAUCAGGACCCCAUGGGGCAAAUGGGAUGACAGGGAUGGGUCUCUAUGGGAUUGAGACCCCACAGGACAUAUGGGAACAGCGGGGAUGGGUCUCCAUGGGAUUGAGACCCCAAGUGGCUCAGUGGGGUCAGGUCCAUAUGGGAUGAAGACCCCACAGGACAUAUGGGAACAGCGGGGAUGGGUCUCCAUGGGAUCAGGACCCCAAAGGGCUCAAUGGGGUCAGGUCCAUAUGGGAUGAAGACCCCACAGGACAUAUGGGAACGGUGGGGGUGGGUCUCCACGGGAUUGAGACCCCAAAGGGAAAACAUCCACAGUGGGGAUGGGAUCCUAUGGGAUCAGGACCCCAAGGCUGAAAGGGAACGGCAGGGAUGGGUCUCUAUGGGAUCAGGACCCCAAGUGGCUCAGUGGGGUCAGGUCCAUAUGGGAUGAAGACCCCACAGGACAUAUGGGAACGGCGGGGAUAGGUCU